rnacentral:rRNA from 1 species
UACGUAGGGACCAAGCGUUGUUCGGAUUUACUGGGCGUAAAGGGCGCGUAGGCGGCAAUUCAAGUCAGCUGUGAAAUCUCCGGGCUUAACUCGGAACGGUCAGCUGAUACUGCUUUGCUAGAGUGCGGAAGGGGCAAUCGGAAUUCUCGGUGUAGCGGCGAAAUGCGUAGAUAUCGAGAGGAACACCUGAGGUGAAGACGGGUUGCUGGGCCGACACUGACGCUGAGGCGCGAAAGCCAGGGUAGCAAACGGG